UUCUAGAACCUUCCCUGGCAAGUAUGUGAAGCUCAAUAGCCUGAAACUUCCUGGCCUUUUGAGAAGUUAGAAUGGUCACGUGACCACCACCUCCCCCGCCCCCCACCGCCUUCUGGAAACUCCCCUUCCUGAUAAACACUUCAGGGACCAGAGAGGGUCAACCAUCCCCACUGGGAGAAUGGACUCGUUUGAAUGGGAAAUACGGACUCAAUGAGAGAAGGAAUAUACUUUGUCCAGUUUCUUCUCCCCUGUAAGGCCAAGGCUGCUCAUUCCUACAAAUGCUUUUCUGCGUAUAUAAGGCUUCUUCUUCACGCAGACAGAGAACCGAGAGCAAAGCAGCUGACCAUUCUCUCUCCACGAUCAGCAAUUCCCCACGGCUGUGGGCCUUUCUCAGGACUCUCUGGCCCUGAAGCUAAGAAAGGGCAUUAAACAUCAUCUUUUUUCAGCCUGAGCGGAUUCUGGAUAUUCCCCUGUCCUCACCCAUCGAUGACGCUCUCCUAGAUCCAGCCUCUGCUCCCCCAAAGACGGUGACAUGCGGAAGCAACAUAUCCCGUUCCCGAAGAUGACCCAACUAUUUUCUGAAAGCCCUUUGGAGAACAGAUAGACACACACACACGGAAAACCGACCUGUCCUUCGAAACCGUAUCUGGGCCGCGGACGCUCCCACUUACCCUGCA